rnacentral:rRNA from 1 species
GUGGGGAAUAUUGGACAAUGGGCGAAAGCCUGAUCCAGCCAUGCCGCGUGUGUGAAGAAGGUCUUCGGAUUGUAAAGCACUUUAAGUUGGGAGGAAGGGCAGUAAGUUAAUACCUUGCUGUUUUGACGUUACCGACAGAAUAAGCACCGGCUAACUUCGUGCCAGUAGCCGCGGUAAUACGAAGGGUGCAAGCGUUAAUCGGAAUUACUGGGCGUAAAGCGCGCGUAGGUGGUUUUGUAAGUUGGAGGGGAAAUCCCCGGGCUCAACCUGGGAACUGCCUCCAAAACUGCAUGACUAGAGUACGGUAGAGUGUAGUGGAAUUUCCUGUGUAGCGGUGAAAUGCGUAGAUAUAGGAAGGAACACCAGUUGCGAAGGCGACUACCUGGACUGAUACUGACACUGAGGUGCGAAAGCGUGGGGAGCAAACAGGAUUAGAAACCCGAGUAGUCC